AGAGUUUGAUCAUGGCUCAGAACGAACGCUGGCGGCGUGGAUAAGACAUGCAAGUCGAACGGGACUUUCCGUUGUAGCAAUACGAUGGAAAGUCUAGUGGCGAACGGGUGAUUAACACGUGGGCAACCUGCCAUGAAGUGGGGGAUAGCUCGCCGAAAGGCGAAUUAAUACCGCAUGUGAUUAGAAAGGACAUCCUUUCGAAAUUAAAGUCGGGGCAACCUGACGCUUCUUGUGGGGCCCGCGGCCUAUCAGCUAGUUGGUGAGGUAACGGCUCACCAAGGCUUUGACGGGUAGCUGGUCUGAGAGGACGACCAGCCACACUGGGACUGAGACACGGCCCAGACACCUACGGGUGGCAGCAGUCGAGAAUUUUUGACAAUGGGGGAAACCCUGAUCGAGCGACGCCGCGUGGAGGAUGAAGGUCUUCGGAUUGUAAACUUCUGUCAUUGGGGAACAAGGUGCAUACGUUAACUGCGUGUGCAUUGAUAGUACCCGAAGAGGAAGAGACGGCUAACUCUGUGCCAGCAGCCGCGGUAAUACAGAGGUCUCAAGCGUUGUUCGGAUUCAUUGGGCGUAAAGGGUGCGUAGGCGGCGCGGUAAGUCGGGUGUGAAAUCUCGGAGCUUAACUCCGAAACUGCAUUCGAUACUGCCGUGCUUGAGGACUGGAGAGGAGACUGGAAUUUACGGUGUAGCGGUGAAAUGCGUAGAUAUCGUAAGGAAGACCAGUGGCGAAGGCGGGUCUCUGGACAGUUCCUGACGCUGAGGCACGAAGGUCAGGGGAGCAAACGGGAUUAGAUACCCUAGUAGUCC
rnacentral:rRNA from 1 species